GCGGGAAUAGCUCAGUGGUAGAGCACAACCUUGCCAAGGUUGGGGUCGCGAGUUCGAAUCUCGUUUCCCGCUC
rnacentral:tRNA from 1 species